CUACAGAAGUGCACCACUUGAGAGCAUGAUUUCUGUAGUCGGACCAGUUAGACGCGAAAUAUUUGUAUUUAACAUGGCUGGGGAAAAGCUUAUUAGCUGCAUAUUUUCGACUCAAUAUUAUGAUACAUGACGUGAGUUCACAUGAAAUUUCCUCCCAAUUUUAUAAAACAUGAAGAUGCGUAUUGGAGCAGUGUGACUAGGCCUCAUCGGCGUGGAAAUGUGGAGGGCCGGUGAUAAACGCAGGUCGGAUGCAGUGUUUUUUGAGGUGAUCGCACAUCCACACGUGGUCAGAAGGGUGUUGCACUUUCAGAUGAAGGUCGGCUAAGGCCUCCAUGACAUUAUGACAGAAUACAGUAAAUGGGGUUUGGUGUGGAUGGAUCCCUGCAAUAUCAAUAUACAAUCGGACUACAAUGCUCAAGAAAUGUACAUGCCACUGUAAAUUACAAGGUGACACCAUGACUCAUAGAUAAUCAUGCUUUUGGGUUUCCUGUACAUGCAUUUUUGAACCAGAAACAUUUUACAAAUAUAUAUGUAUUUUUAAACUGUAGGAUGUAACAAAUGUCAUCUAUGAAUAAAACAUUUUUCAACAAA